rnacentral:miRNA from 1 species
GGCUGUGGGCUGGGCUGGGCUGGGCUGGGCUGGGCUGGGGGGAUCUGCCUUCCGUGGGCUCC